CUUUCACUUAGUAACAAGUGCUUUAUUUGAUUGACUCAUUUAAUCCUUGUGAUGUGCUUUUUCUGUAGAUGAGGGAAAUGAAGCACAGAGAGGAUAAGUGAUUCGCUCAAAAAUCACACAGUGAUUAAAUCACAGACCCAGCACGUGAACCGGGCAGUCAUGGUCUGGGAGCCUGGCCAUGAGUUAGGUGGUUUGCACAGAGUCAGUGUCUCCACUCUGAAGGCCAAAUCUCCUAUCACAGUGGCUCUCUGAAGGGACCCCAGAUGGUAGUGCCUUCUUGCCACACAGACCGCAGAAUAAAACCUAGUUUUCUGAUGUUCCUUCUCCUUCGUCGUUAGCUGUUACUAGGUGAUGUUGUCAGGUGACUUUCCCGAGAAGUCCUGCUGUCAUCGUGCUUCUGUUCUGCUACACCCUAGAGGAAACCAGAUGCCUCUCUGCGGAAUGUCCUCUCCACAGCCUUUGGGGACACAGGUGUCCUGGCAUUGGGAGACAAGUAACUCCACCGAGCACCGAUGUCUACGCUGCUCACAGCCCUUUAUCCUGCAGCUGUGAUUGUGUCGGGAAGUGAUCGCUCAAAGCAAAUCGAUGUGACAGUUGCAUCUUAUUUAUGUGGGACAAAGCCCUCCCUUUGCCCUUGGUGAACUAGGAGAGGAUUUUCAUCUUGGAGCUAGGUCAGGUCCCAAGGAUGUCCUGCGUGGGAGUUGUUCUGUACUGAAGCAAUGAUACAGGCACUGAAAUACUCGGUAUUGUUUGUUGGCGUGAAUUAAAGGGAAUAACACACACAUGAGCUCUGUGACAGCCAACGAGCAUUUGCCCUUGCACCUGAACUUGUGGUUGGGGGUGGCAGAAGCCUGUUAUCUACAUUGCCUACCCAAGUUUAUGGGAACCAGCUCACUGUCUUGACCGCAUAAAGUUCAUUCUCCAACCAAUAGGCACUUACGCUAAUAUUUAUUAAGACCUAGGUCAAAACAGAAGGCCACAUGUUCCUUCCUCUUAUUUUUUUCCUCUUAAGAAAUAAAUAUUUCCUCUUAAGAAAUAAAUAUUGACAAGUAUGGCAAAAAAUUCAGUGAUCAUCAAUAUCUUCAUUAGUCAGAAUCAAAGAUCCAUCCAAUAGGUAACACGUUGAACACAUUUCACACUGGGUACAGUACUAGUGCUUUAUUGGAUUAACUCAUUUAACCCUCACAAUGGAAAUGCAAAGCAUGGAUAUAAAGAAUGCAGAAAGCAUUUAAAACGAACUUCUUCUUUGCUUGAUAUCAGAGAAGCCGGCUUUGGGGAAGUCCGUAAGUGUUCUGUCUGAAUAGGAGUCUCACUCCUGAUUUCCACUUUGAAACCUUCAGUUCAUCAAAUACUGCCUCCUCCAUGAAGUCGUUCUGAUUUCUCCUGAAACAUGAGAAUUUUUCCUCCUCAUUUAUAUCUCAAAUCUCAAAGCCACCCAACUGUACUUUUCAAUGGCACUGAUCCUAUUCUGACAGGCACCAUGGUUCUCUGAAGAUGUGGGGUGUGCUACAAGCAAGGGAUUUGGAGUCAAAAGACAUCUGUUUGACUUUUCCCAGGCUCCCUGGGUAAGUGCUACUAAUCGCAGUAUUAUCUUCCUGAGGGAACUUGCGAGACCUAGUGAAAAAACACACAGAUAGUACUUUGUUAACUGGAAGCACAGGUUACCGCGUUUAUUACUAUCUCUGGUGUGUAAACACAUCGAAAGGAAUGCUGGCCUGAGCCAUCUUUGUGUGUUCUCUGACACCUUGAGCAUUGCCUGAGAACUAGCAGACGUACUAAGUGUGUUAUCAGAGGAAUAGUUUUAGGAGACAGCUGUCUUCUUAGCAACCAAUCGCAUGAGCCAUCUCAAGAGCAUCUUCGUCCAGAUGCAGAAGCAAUCUGGACAGACCCUUAGCUUGGGCUGGGUUCUUUAAGGCCAACGAGGCACCGUGCAUCCUCUAGCUAGCUGAGAGGAGGCAAGGCUGCUGGAGAUGCUUUGUCAGGAAAGGGGAAACGACUCUUUAAGAAAGUCACCUUAAUGUGACUGAAUCCUUCAUCAUGAGGUCAGAAGACAAAGUCAGAGAUGCAAGAGGUAUGCUCUCCAUGGGGCAGUAUGACAACCCUUCAAGUUUGAUUCCCAAAUGCAGACGUGCCUGGCUGUUCUGCACUUCUGGAAGGAAGGCUGUAUUUGUGAAGUGAUGGAAUAAUUUCCAUGGCAACAGACUGUCUGGUGUCAGAAGAACAGACAUGAAAGCUCCACGUGCCAAGUCUGUAUUUAUGUGAUGCUUAUGUCUCUGCCUCCUACAACGCAGAGGGGGCUUGAUCUCUCAGCAGACAUCCUUUACUGUCCAAACGAUCCCAAUGUAGAAAUCAUGCCAUUUCUAUCAGACUUCCACAUCUAAAGGUUGAGUGUACUAUUUCUGUCUUGUAAAAUUUUUAGUAGACUGAAUGGAGCUGUCAGGGUCUUUGUAAACAGAUCUUGCUGGACCCUCAGGGGGUGACCCAGGGGUGAUGAAGGAGGCAGCUAGGGCCUGGACCUUGGUCUUCUAGGGAAUGUAGUGUUGCCACCUGCCCAGCACCUUGCUUCAGGAUGAAGGGAGAGAGGGGGUGUAGUCAGAGGACCAGGAUGGACCCUGACUGGAGAAGCCUGGCCAAGCAGAGUAGAACUGCUCCCUGUUGCUGUAUGCAUCUUCCUGCAAUCGAUAGCCCCUGGGAGAAGCUCUGCUCUUACCCUCGGCUCCUAAUCUCUGAUGCUUCCCAAGACUUUAUCACCAUAAUCUGUGCACCAGAGACUUCAAACCAAAGACUGCUCUUGGCUCCUUUCCUGACCCCAGGCUUCUCCACAAACCACAAAGCCCUAGACUGUUGCUCCUUAGGACUUAACCCUUCCUAACUCCUUCCCGUCUGCCCAAACCACAGGCCAAGCACAUCAGGAGAAGCCUAACUGCCCAUGUCUUGCUCUGUAUCUCAGAGCCUGGGGGUCAAGUAAUGUCUCCAAAAGGGAAGUAUCUUCUUCCUUUUUUUUUUUUUUAAAGAUUUUAUUUCUUUUGAGAGACAGAGAGAGAGAGCAAGUACAUGAGCAUCAGGGAGGGGCAAAGUGAGAGGGAGGAGCAGACUCCCCACUGAGCAGGGAGCCCAACAUGGGGUUCAAUCCCGGGACCCCGAGAUCAUGACCUGAGCCAAAGGCGGAUGCUUAACCAACUGAGCCACCCAGGCACCCCAGGGAAGUACCUCCAAUCACUGAAGGUCAGCAAGAUGCCCACAGGGGGCUUGUA